UACGUAGGGUGCGAGCGUUGUCCGGAAUUAUUGGGCGUAAAGGGCUCGUAGGCGGCCAACUAAGUCAGACGUGAAAUCCCUCGGCUUAACCGGGGAACUGCCUCUGAUACUGGAUGGCUUGAGAUUGGGAGAGGGAUGCGGAAUUCCAGGUGUAGCGGUGAAAUGCGUAGAUAUCUGGAGGAACACCGGUGGCGAAGGCGGCAUCCUGGACCAACACUGACGCUGAGGCACGAAAGCCAGGGGAGCGAACGGG
rnacentral:rRNA from 1 species